rnacentral:rRNA from 1 species
AUUGAACGCUGGCGGCAUGCCUAACACAUGCAAGUCGAGCGAGCGGCGGACGGGUGAGUAAUGUCUGGGGAUCUGCCUGAUGGCGGGGGAUAACUACUGGAAACGGUAGCUAAUACCGCAUACCAUCAGAUGUACCCAGAUGGGAUUAGCUUGUAGGUGAGGUAACGGCUCACCUAGGCGACGAUCCCUAGCUGGUCUGAGAGGAUGACCGGCCACACGGGGACUGAGACACGGCCCAGACUCCUACGGGAGGCAGCAGUGGGGAAUAUUGCACAAUGGGCGCAAGCCUGAUGCAGCCAUGCCGCGUGUAUGAAGAAGGCCUUAGGGUUGUAAAGUACUUUCAGCGGGGAGGCGUUACCCGCAGAAGAAGCACCGGCUAACUCCGUGCCAGCAGCCGCGGUAAUUC